GUUGUCACAGUCCUGACCAGCACGACAUGUAUGUCCUCCCAAAGCACACUCAUCAAUGUCUACAACAGAAGGAGCCAUGACAUUGAGCAUGCCCCUCACAUGGCCGCCCACCAUGCUGAGCUGAUGGAUUACUGCAAGUUCUGGUCCUGGUUUGGUUGCCAUGUCCACAGCUUCUUGUGCAUUCUUCCCAGAAACUCCAUUCUGACCAGUGACCAUCCACUACAGGAAGGUGAAACCGUUACAUCAUCAGUGACACAGCAGAUGGAAAGAAAUCAUGUUCAACAACCUACCAUGGACAGUGAGUGUGGUGCUCAUGCUGCUGGAACCCGCUGCAUUAGCUGCCAUGCAUGUGUACCGACCAGUGUCAGCAGGCUGGGCAAAUGCUAUCUGCAGAGCGCCUGAGUUCAGGAUGCGCUGACGGAUGGAUUCAGUAAGUGCGUGUCCAUCUUUAUGCCAGGCUGCCGUCGCUAACUACUACAAUUGGGAGAACAUGCUUUUGUUACCUGAGGACAGAAUCCGAUAACCGUCGCCUCUAGGAAGCAGUCUUAUGCCAUUUUUGGUCCAGUGAAUUGUGGGAACUGGAACUCCAGAAGCAGUGCAGGUCAUGACUGCUGGGGCCUGUCUGGUUACCAGGAAAUCCGUAGGCUCAUCAGCUAUGGCGGGAGGAACUAAAACAGCAACAAGAGAAAACCGCACUUUUCCAUUCCACUGCUUACGUAUUCAUUCCCGAAGCCAUUUUGUCCCCCUUCUUCCUGAUGCUCAGUGUCAAAACUGUUACCUUGCAUGGUUCCCAGCUAGCACAGCCCCAUCCUUCCUCCAUGUUAUCCUUGGAGUUGGCACACCUUCAGCAGAGCAUUC